GUAGGUGGCAAGCGUUGUCCGGAAUUAUUGGGGCGUAAAGCGCGCGCAGGCGGUUCUUUAAGUCUGAUGUGAAAGCCCACGGGCUCAACCGUGGAGGGUCAUUGGAAACUGGAGAACUUGAGUACAGAAGAGGAAAGCGGAAUUCCACGUGUAGCGGUGAAAUGCGUAGAGAUGUGGAGGAACACCAGUGGCGAAGGCGGCUUUCUGGUCUGUAACUGACGCUGAGGCGCGAAAGCGUGGGGAGCAAACAGGAUUAGAUACCCUGGUAGUCCACGCCGUAAACGAUGAGUGCUAAGUGUUAGGGGGUUUCCGCCCCUUAGUGCUGCAGCUAACGCAUUAGGCACUCCGCCUGGGGAGUACGGCCGCAAAGGCUG
rnacentral:rRNA from 1 species